GACGAACGCUGGCGGCGUGCUUAACACAUGCAAGUCGAACGGAAAGGCCCUGCUUUUGUGGGGUGCUCGAGUGGCGAACGGGUGAGUAACACGUGAGUAACCUGCCCUUGACUUUGUGAUAACUUCUGGAAACUGGGGCUAAUACCCGGUAUGAUCUCCUGCUCCAUGUGGUUGGUUGGAAAGUUCCGGCGGUUGUGGCUGGACUCGCGGCUUAUCCGCUUCUUGGUGGGGUAGUGGCUUACCAAGGCUUUGACGGGUAGCCGGCCUGAGAGGCGGACCGGCGUCCUUGGGACUGAGGGACGGACCAGACUGCUACGGGCGGCAGUAGGGGGGAACAUUGCACAAUAGGCGGAAGCCUGAUGCAGCAACGCCGCGUGCGGAAUGACGGCUUUCGGGUUGUAAACCGAUGUCGCAGGUGAAGAAGCGUGAGUGACGGUACUGAGUCAAGAAGCAACGGCUAACUACGUG
rnacentral:rRNA from 1 species